AGUCCUAAAAGUCAGAGCAGUGUCUAAACAGUCUGAGCUGUAAUGUGUGAAACUCUGUCGUACAGAUCCUAGAGAUGCCUUACAAAGGGAAGGAGCUCAGCAUGCUCAUCUUUCUACCUAAUGAGAUAGAGGAUGAUACCACCGGUCUGGAGAAGCUGGAGAAGCAGCUGACCUAUGAGAAAUUUGUGGAGUGGACUCGUCCAGACAUGAUGUCUGAGGUUGAGGUUGAUGUGAAGCUGCCUCAAUUCAAGUUGGAGGAGACGUAUGACCUGAAAGGCGUCCUGAAAAACAUGGGCAUGGUGGACGCUUUUGAUGACAAGAAGAGUGACUUCUCUGGCAUGUCUGGGACCAAAGACCUGAUUCUGUCAGAAGUCAUCCACAAGACUCAUGUGGAGGUGAACGAGGAGGGAACUGAGGCUGCUGCUGCCACUGGCGCUUGUGUCCGUCUUUUGUCAGGGCGUAUGUAUUUCAAUUUAGCCCACUUCAUCGCAGACCACCCCUUCCUCUUCUUCAUCCGACAUAACACCACCAUGAGCGUUCUGUUCGCCGGCCGAUUCUGCUCCCCUGUGUGAGCGCUGUGUCCCUCAGAGCAGUGUGACUCCACAGGUGGAGGUUACGUGGGAUGUAGCUACGCUCAAACAGUCCACAGCCCCUCUGCAUUGCUCUAGCUAUAAAUCACAUUUCCCCUCUCAGUUACUUUUACAAAGUGUAAAAUGUGGCUCUGCACAGUGCACCCUCACAUUUACAUCCAGGUGCUGCUGCCCUCAGUCUGUUGCUUGUGCUGAAUCCCAAACUUUUUCUGAUGAUUAUCUGUAUGUUUUGAAAUGGUCUUUGCUUGUAGGUGAGCAGAAAAUCCCUGUGUAUCUUUUUACUGUCUGAGAGAAGCUGCUGAGCUGUUGCACUUACACAUCUUUGAAAUGUAACUUUACCAUCCCAGUCAGUCGAACAUGGAGUUUCAUGUCAGUUAAUGAAUCUAAACUAUGGCUGCACUUUGUAUCCUCCUGCUUGCAUAACUGGAAUAAAGGAGUUUGGUUUGAAAA